CAAAUCAGUUCGUAUUGACUACUCAAAUAUUUGUAUAUUUUAAUUGGACAUUUUAUAAAUGCAAACUAACGGCAAUCUAAUCUAAAGAGGAGGUGUAAAGAUGAUUUUUCAAAAGCAUGCCAGACAAGUGGGAAAGAUAUGGAGCCUUUCCGAAUUUUCGACCUGAUUGGAUGAAAUAUUUUGCAUAGCAAGUUAUGUUUUCUAUGUAUGAGUCUGAGCUGCAGAAUCUAAUCUAAAGGGUAGGUGUAGGGUGAGCAAUCAUGUGUCUGCGUCGAGCAUUGGCCGUGGUCAUGAUCUGCACGCAUUUGACCGUUUCAAACUCGUUUUUGGCACUGAUAAGAAAUUAGGUAAACAACCACGAAACAUUUUUCCUAAGUCUGAAUCACCGUACUCUUACUUUGAUUUGACUUCCUGACAAAAUACAAAUAACACUGAAAUUUGUAUACACUGAACAAUGAGUUAAAUACAAUUAAACUGUUUUUUAGGAUUUUCUAAAACAUA